rnacentral:rRNA from 1 species
AUGGCUGGUUUGUUCUGGAAUGCCAGGGGACUGGGUGACCCUGAGAAAUUUACCUUUAUUAAAAAUGCUUUGGUAGAGUUCCAACUUAGAUUCAUUUGUAUCCAGGAAACUAAAAAAACUACUUAUAACUUGGCUUGGCUUGAGAGUGUUAGUGGUAAUUGCCCUUUCUCCUGGUGCUUUGUUCCCGCUGUUGGACAAUCAGGAGGUCUUUUGAGUGGUAUUAAUACUAAUUUUUAUGAUAUCUUAGAUUCUGAAAAAGGAUGUCAUCAUAUUAGAUUCCUUGUCCGAGAUAGGAAAAAUGGAGAGAAGCUAAAUAUAGUAAAUGUUUAUGGAGCUUCGCAUAAUAAGGAUAAAGAAUACUUCCUAGUUGAAUUAGUUCAUAUUUGUAACUCUAACGCUUUUCUUAUUAUUGUUGGGGGAGAUUUUAAUAUCAUAUGGAAAAGGUGGUCUACUCUGUUUAAUGCAAUUAUUGAGAAUUGGGAGAUGAAAGAAGUAGAACUAAAUGGGAGAGCUUUUACUUGGUCAAAUAAUCAAGAAAAUCCUAUUUUUGAGAAAUUAGACAGAAUUUUAAUGUCUCUAUCUUAUGAGAGUUUGUUUCCUGUGAUGUUUCUUCGAGCUCUUCCUAGAGUCCUCUCUGACCAUGCCCCUCUUUUGCUUGAUUUGGGGAUGAAC